rnacentral:rRNA from 1 species
UACGAAGGGGGCUAGCGUUGCUCGGAAUCACUGGGCGUAAAGGGUGCGUAGGCGGGUCUUUAAGUCAGAGGUGAAAUCCUGGAGCUCAACUCCAGAACUGCCUUUGAUACUGAGGAUCUUGAGUACGGGAGAGGUGAGUGGAACUGCGAGUGUAGAGGUGAAAUUCGUAGAUAUUCGCAAGAACACCAGUGGCGAAGGCGGCUCACUGGCCCGUUACUGACGCUGAGGCACGAAGCCAGGGAGCAACGGG